UAGUGAGUUUGAUCCUGGCUCAGAACGAACGCUGGCGGCAUGCCUAACACAUGCAAGUCGAACGAGACCUUCGGGUCUAGUGGCGCACGGGUGCGUAACGCGUGGGAAUCUGCCCUUGGGUUCGGAACAACAGUUGGAAACGACUGCUAAUACCGGAUGAUGACUUCGGUCCAAAGAUUUAUCGCCCAGGGAUGAGCCCGCGUCGGAUUAGCUAGUUGGUGAGGUAAAAGCUCACCAAGGCGACGAUCCGUAGCUGGUCUGAGAGGAUGAUCAGCCACACUGGGACUGAGACACGGCCCAGACUCCUACGGGGAGGCAGCAGUGGGGAAUAUUGGACAAUGGGGCGAGAGCCUGACCCAGCCAUGCCGCGUGCCCGGAUGAAGGCC
rnacentral:rRNA from 1 species